GCAGGGUGUGGUGGCGCAUGCCUGUAGUCCCAGCUACUCAGGAGGCUGAGGCAGGAGAAUCGCUUGAACCCAGGAGGCAGAGGUUGCGGUGAGCUGAGAUCGUGCCACUGCACUUCAGCCCGGGGGACAGAACGAGGCUCUGUUUAAAAAAAAAAAAAAAAAAAAAAAAAAAAUUCAGUCUAGUGUCAAUUAGAUGUACAUUGCUGAGGUAUUUUAUCUAUUGCAGAUUUUUUUCCCCUUUUGAUUGCAUCAGGCAUAUUGCCCUGUAAAUUGUGGUAGUGAUACCAGGAAUAAAAUAUUAAAUAAUUUUAUUGGAAGCAGAGGACUGCCAAGUUGACUGAGGAGGGGUAAACUGGCCCAGGUUGGAAACAGAGCAGGUCAAAAUUCUCAUGCUGAUUAGUAGUGAGUCACACCUGUGAGUAGCCACUGCACUUUAUCCUGGGCAGCAAGACCCUGUCUCUA
rnacentral:SRP_RNA from 1 species